rnacentral:rRNA from 1 species
CGAUGGGAGCUUGCUCCCUGAGAUUAGCGGCGGACGGGUGAGUAACACGUGGGCAACCUGCCUAUAAGACUGGGAUAACUUCGGGAAACCGGAGCUAAUACCGGAUACGUUCUUUUCUCGCAUGAGAGAAGAUGGAAAGACGGUUUCGGCUGUCACUUAUAGAUGGGCCCGCGGCGCAUUAGCUAGUUGGUGAGGUAAUGGCUCACCAAGGCGACGAUGCGUAGCCGACCUGAGAGGGUGAUCGGCCACACUGGGACUGAGACACGGCCCAGACUCCUACGGGAGGCAGCAGUAGGGAAUCUUCCGCAAUGGACGAAAGUCUGACGGAGCAACGCCGCGUGAACGAAGAAGGCCUUCGGGUCGUAAAGUUCUGUUGUUAGGGAAGAACAAGUACCAGAGUAACUGCUGGUACCUUGACGGUACCUAACCAGAAAGCCACG